GAACGAAGUCUUCGGACUUAGUGGCGAACGGGUGAGUAACACGUAGGUAACCUGCCUUUCAGUGGAGGAUAGCCCAAGGAAACUUGGAUUAAUACUGCAUACGAUCUGAUGGUCUUGGCCAGAGGAUGAAAGAUUUAUCGCUGAAAGAGGGGCCUGCGGUGCAUUAGGUAGUUGGUGGGGUAAAGGCCUACCAAGCCGACGAUGUAUAGCUGGUCUGAGAGGAUGAUCAGCCACACUGGGACUGAGACACGGCCCAGACUCCUACGGGAGGCAGCAGUGGGGAAUAUUGGACAAUGGGCGAAAGCCUGAUCCAGCUACGCCGCGUGAGUGAUGAAGGCCUUAGGGUUGUAAAUCUCUGUUGUAGGGAAAGAUAAUGACGGUACCCUAUGUAGAAAGCACCGGCUAACUCCGUGCCAGCAGCCGCGGUAAUACGGAGGGUGCAAGCGUUGCUCGGAAUCACUGGGCGUAAAGGGAGUGUAGGCGGUUAAUUAAGCGAGAUGUGAAAGCCCGAGGCUCAACCUCGGAAUUGCAUCUCGAACUGGUUAACUUGAGUCCGUGAGAGGGGGGUAGAAUUCCUGGUGUAGAGGUGAAAUUCGUUGAUAUCAGGAGGAAUACCGGUGGCGAAGGCGGCCCCCUGGUACGGUACUGACGCUGAGGCACGAAAGCGUGG
rnacentral:rRNA from 1 species